rnacentral:rRNA from 1 species
UACGUAGGUGGCAAGCGUUGUCCGGAUUUACUGGGCGUAAAGAGCGCGCAGGCGGCUGGUCAAGUCCGAUGUGAAAUCUCCCGGCUCAACUGGGAAACUGCAUCGGAAACUGAUCGGCUUGAAGGUGGGAGAGGGUAGUGGAAUUCCCGGUGUAGCGGUGAAAUGCGUAGAGAUCGGGAGGAACAUCAGUGGCGAAGGCGGCCAUCUGGGACAACACUGACGCUGAAGCACGAAAGCGUAGGGAGCAAACAGG